AAUACAUUCUGUGUGGAUCCCGACAGCGGAGCGGACAGUCAUGUGAGCAGACAGACCAGGAAGUGGCUCCAGAUACGUCACUCCCGACCAACCAAAACACCAGACGCUAACUCCACCCGCAGCCCUCCGGUCCGCCCUCCCGCGCUCUCCAAACCUCCCCACGGCCACAGAGGGUGGACAGACCGGCAGCUCAUAUUUCCAAGGGGCCAAUAGGUCGAUCGUUUCCCUCCUUCCAGUACCUUGCCCUCACUCCCAUUACUGCUCUCUCAUGGUCUC